rnacentral:rRNA from 1 species
GUGGGGAAUCUUGCGCAAUGGGCGAAAGCCUGACGCAGCCAUGCCGCGUGAAUGAUGAAGGUCUUAGGAUUGUAAAAUUCUUUCACCGGGGACGAUAAUGACGGUACCCGGAGAAGAAGCUCCGGCUAACUUCGUGCCAGCAGCCGCGGUAAUACGAAGGGGGCUAGCGUUGCUCGGAAUUACUGGGCGUAAAGGGCGCGUAGGCGGACAGCUUAGUCAGAGGUGAAAGCCCAGGGCUCAACCUUGGAAUUGCCUUUGAUACUGGCUGUCUUGAGUUUGGGAGAGGUGAGUGGAACUCCGAGUGUAGAGGUGAAAUUCGUAGAUAUUGGAAGGAACACCAGUGGCGAAGGCGACUACCUGGACUGAUACUGACACUGAGGUGCGAAAGCGUGGGGAGCAAACAGGAUUAGAAACCCUUGUAGUCC